rnacentral:pre_miRNA from 1 species
CGAGCGCAGGGCGCGGUCCCUGUAGCUGCUUAGGGGCGUUGCCUCCGCCCCCGAGUGCCUACAGCGACUGUGCCCUGCGCAUA